ensembl:lncRNA
UUUUUAAGUGACAUCUGGAUAUGAAAUAGAUCUGUUACACUAUCAGCCUUUGUUGUAUGUUUAUACACUUUUUCACAGUUUUUUGUCAUUUUUGGCUUGCCAUACAAGUCAUUAUUAAAUAAAACACAUCAUAUGGGUUACUGUAAUUUGACAUGCAUUGCAACCUGUGGUAUGUCGAUGGCCCAAUCCAGAUGAUAUCAGAUAAGAUGUGUGUUUCUCUUUCUUUACAGAUCAGAUCUGUGCCAGAUAUCGACAGUAUAAACGCAGCCUUUUAUGUGUGGUUUCACGGCAGAUCUCGGGCCCUCGGCUCCACAGAUGAACUGUGGGCUGUGAUCUUCGGUGCUGGCAGGGCUUCAGCUCGCCCUCAUGUCUGCCAUCUGAUUCUACACCUGCCAAACUCCACGGCCCCCAUCUGCCCUUUACAACAUGACCUCAUCGGCACGGCACGGUGUGAGUGGUCUGGUUCCUGGUGUCCUCGGCGCUCAGCAGGUGGAGGCGACUGCAGCAGGUGUUAGCGCGGAGGGUGGAGAGAAGCCGUGAUUAAUGCCGCGGUGCCCUUUACUGUUUCAGAGCGGCAGGGCGGCAUUAGCAUUCAAAACAUGAAGAGCAGCCAGUGUGUGUCUGGUGUGGAAAACAGGAAAACAGCAGAACACACGUUUACUCAAUCUGUUCACACAUACAUGCGCACACUGCAGUUCUGCAGUGCUUGUUUGCUCCAUUUGCAUUCAGUUUUUUCCUCUCUGAGAGCAUCUAGUCUGUUAAUUAUUUUACAGACGCUUGAACAGGACAUGCUAGCUGUCCUAGCUGACUUUACACAGAUAAAUUGAUUUGCUCAGUUUAAUUUCUCUUCUGUUCUCCUUCUGGGAGCCAAUACGGAAAGCAAUCCUUUAAGUACUUAAUCGAUACGGUUUCUGUGGCAUCAUUGCGAAUUAAUGUCCUGAGCGUCCUUGUUGUGUCCGAUAGCAUCUCUUCAUCAAUGAAAACAUUCUCCUCAUAAACCAAUGAGUCAGAUUUAUCAGUUAGUCAUCACACUUUGCAACAUCAACGCUGCAAAAAAACUGUAUCGCCAGUUAGAAUAUGUAAAAAUCCUUCAAACAAAAUACAUUUGUGCAACAAUGCAUUGAUUUUCUGAAUAUGUGAGUGUCUUACUGCACUGGCAGAUUUAUUUCACUGAUAUUUUUAGCUUGUUUACAAUUAAGAUAAAAUGCACCCAUAAUAAAGAUACAUUGUCUAAAAGCA